AUUGAACGCUGGCGGCAUGCUUUACACAUGCAAGUCGAACGGCAGCGCGGGGCAACCUGGCGGCGAGUGGCGAACGGGUGAGUAAUACAUCGGAACGUACCCAGAAGUGGGGGAUAACGUAGCGAAAGUUACGCUAAUACCGCAUAGGUUCUACGGAAGAAAGUGGGGGACCUUCGGGCCUCAUGCUUUUGGAGCGGCCGGUGUCUGAUUAGCUAGUUGGUGAGGUAAAGGCUCACCAAGGCGACGAUCAGUAGCUGGUCUGAGAGGACGACCAGCCACACUGGGACUGAGACACGGCCCAGACUCCUACGGGAGGCAGCAGUGGGGAAUUUUGGACAAUGGGCGCAAGCCUGAUCCAGCAAUGCCGCGUGAGUGAAGAAGGCCUUCGGGUUGUAAAGCUCUUUUGUCAGGGAAGAAACGGCUGAGGUUAAUACCUUCGGCUAAUGACGGUACCUGAAGAAUAAGCACCGGCUAACUACGUGCCAGCAGCCGCCGCCGUAA
rnacentral:rRNA from 1 species